AGUGAACGCUGGCGGUAGGCCUAACACAUGCAAGUCGAACGGCAGCACAGUAAGAGCUUGCUCUUACGGGUGGCGAGUGGCGGACGGGUGAGGAAUACAUCGGAAUCUACUUUUUCGUGGGGGAUAACGUAGGGAAACUUACGCUAAUACCGCAUACGACCUACGGGUGAAAGCAGGGGAUCUUCGGACCUUGCGCGAUUGAAUGAGCCGAUGUCGGAUUAGCUAGUUGGCGGGGUAAAGGCCCACCAAGGCGACGAUCCGUAGCUGGUCUGAGAGGAUGAUCAGCCACACUGGAACUGAGACACGGUCCAGACUCCUACGGGAGGCAGCAGUGGGGAAUAUUGGACAAUGGGCGCAAGCCUGAUCCAGCCAUACCGCGUGGGUGAAGAAGGCCUUCGGGUUGUAAAGCCCUUUUGUUGGGAAAGAAAAGCAGUAGGUUAAUACCCCGCUGUUCUGGCGGUACCCAAAGAAUAAGCACCGGCUAACUUCGUG
rnacentral:rRNA from 1 species